GUGUGUUCGCUGCUGUUGUGACUUCAGCGCAGUGUGUUAGCUGUCUCUUGUGACUUCAGCGCGGUGUGUUCGCUGUCUCUUGUGAGUUCAGCGCGGUGUGUUCGCUGUCUCUUGUGAGUUCAGCGCAGUGUGUUCGCUGCUGUUGUGACUUCAGCACGGUGUGUUAGCUGUCUCUUGUGAGUUCAGCGCGGUGUGUUCGCUGUCUCUUGUGAGUUCAGCGCGGUGUGUUCGCUGUCUCUUGUGAGUUCAGCGCAGUGUGUUCGCCAUGUCUUGUUAGUUCAGCGGGGUGUGUUCGCUUCCUGUUGUGACUUCAGUGCGGUGUGUUCGCUGUCUCUUGUGAGUUCAGCGCAGUGUGUUCGCUGUCUCUUGUGAGUUCAGCGCAGUGUGUUCGCUGUCUCUUGUGAGUUCAGCGCGGUGUGUUCGCUGUCUCUUGUGAGUUCAGCGUGGUGUGUUCGCUGCUGUUGUGACUUCAGCGCGGUGUGUUAGCUGCUGUUGUGACUUUAGCGCGGUGUGUUCACUGCUGUUGUGAGUUCAGCGCAGUGUGUUCGCUGUCUCUUGUGAGUUCAGCGCAAUGUGUUUGCUGUCUCUUGUGAAUUCAGCGCGGUGUGUUCGCUGUCUCUUGUGAAUUCAGCGCGGUGUGUUCGCUCUCUCUUGUGAGUUCAGCGCGGUGUGUUCGCUGUCUGUUGUUAGUUCAGCGUGGUGUGUUCGCUGCCUGUUGUGAGUUCAGUGCGGUGUGUUCGCUGUCUCUUGUGAGUUCUGCACGGUGUAUUCACUGCUGUUGUGACUUCAGUGCGGUGUGUUCGUUGUCUCUUGUUAGUUCAGCGCGGUGUGUUCGUUGUCUCUUGUGAGUUCAGCGCGGUGUGUUCGCUGUCUGUUGUUAGUUCAGCGUGGUGUGUUCGCUGCCUGUUGUGAGUUCAGCGUGGUGUGUUCGCUGUCUGUUGUGACUUCAGCGCGGUGUGUUCGCUGUCUGUUGUGAGUUCAGCGCGGUGUGUUCGCUGUCUGUUGUGACUUCAGCGCGGUGUGUUCGCUGUCUGUUGUGACUUCAGCGCGGUGUGUUCGCUGUCUGUCUGAGGUCAGUUUUCUGCAGCUCUCUCUGAGUCAUGUUCCAGCCUCUUUGACUCCAGAUCUGCUGCUGAUAUAAAAUAUUAACCUGUUGCGGUAAAAUUCAGCUCGAGGGCUUCUCAGAAUGUGUCUCUCCUCUUCCCAUCAUCAUCAUCAUCAUCACACAUGUCCGGAGCUGCAGAUGCCACACAAACAGAUAAAACUUUCCCUUUAACAUUUGAUCUAGCAGCUGGACUGAAGGAGAGCUCCGUUCACCAGCAGAGAGAUUUACGUCUAAUUUCACCACCGCAUGCUCUGAUGAAAUAUGAAUUAAAGAGACUAUUUUUAGAAAGUUUCACAUUUCCUGUCCAUCUGAAACUGCACAGCUCAUGACUCAAACACACACUGAUGGAACCUGAGGGGUCGGGGUUUCCUCAUCUGACCAGCAGGAGCCCUGAACGACAUGCUGCCAGUAGCUGAACUCUUUCUCCCUGUGUGACGUUCAGACGUUUCGGCUCCUGCAGGUUUGUUUUCCAGUUAAUCAGCCCGAUGACGACAGACAGACCUGUUCACCUGUUCACCUGAUUACCCGAUGGAGACCUGAGAGGUUCAUCACGUUCACUCGGCAGACGUGUCACCAUCAGGAGCAGUUCAGGGUGCCGACACACGAAUCCAUCGUCACUGAGCUGCAGCCCC